rnacentral:lncRNA from 1 species
GGUCUAAUCGGAGCUGUAGACGCUGGCCUACGCCAGAGCCACAGCAACGCCAGAUCCAAGCAGCAUCUGCAACCUACCUCAGCUCACGGUAACACCGGAUUCUUAACCCACUGAGUAAGGCCAGGGAUGGAAUCGAAACCUCAUGGUUCUUAGUCGGACUCGUUAACCACUGAGCCAUAACGGGAACUCCUGUUAUUUUUCUGUUUCUAAAUUUCCUACCAAAUUAUUAAGACUCUCAAAGAUGUUUCUCUCAUCAUGUAAGUUUUUUUCAUUUGCUAGUCCUAAUCCUAAAACGACAGGUGAAAUUUUAAUAUUGGCUAUUCCUCUAACACAGAGGAAAAUUAGAUAAUUACUAAAUACAUCAUUUCAACCUAAACGUAGGUAGCUUUUUAAACCAAGUAAUUACAUUUUCAAUACCCAGGAGUCAGAGUAGAUUGAUGUUUUGGCUCGAGCAAUAUAUGCUCAUACUUUUUCAAAAAUAACUCUAUUUUUUUAGAAAUCUAACAUAUGGCAAAUGCAUUUAAGCAACAAUUUUCCUUCCGUAAUGAUGUUAGCAAUUUGCAAAGAUGAAGUGGAAGCUAGGACUGUGGGCAGGGUAUACGUAAAUUUGAAACAAGUACCUGCCUGAUCUGUUUGGAAAAUGACUAACCCAUCAAGACUGAAGCUCCAUGCAUUCCAUGUGGGUAAAACAGGAGUUGAAAGUGUCCAUACGGUCCUAAAAAAGUGUACUUCAGAUGCAAAGUUUUUUUUAAUCCCUAACCAUAAGAAUCAAAGAGAAAUUAUUGAUCAAAGUUGUAUUUACAAGGUUAUCUGAGAUAUUACUGUUAUCAAACAGUAACCCCUCGUUGGAAUCACAAAUCAUCAAAAUCAGAAAGGCCCCUAGGGGUUAAUUUAGUCAAAGUCUCUCUUUUACAGGGGAGGAAAUCAGAUGAGGAAACUAAGGCCUGGAGCUUUGGAAUAAAUUGCUACAAAUCUAUGUCAGAAAUGGCAGAGGUUAACCCAGAUCCCAGCCUCCCAAUUUACAAUCUAAUGAGCUUUCCAGUCAAUUUCAAUGCUCCUCCCAGGGCUCUAGGAACACAGUGGGGCACUUGUUAAACAGAAGGAGACUCUGCCUCAACUGCUUUGGAAGGGUCUGGGUAUCUGUAACUUUAAGGAGAGUUGCAGGCAGUUCUUAAGGUCAGACAAGUAUGGAAACACCGUUUCUUCUCACACCUCCUCCUUAACCUCAGGGGCAACCUGGCUGCUCUGCUGUAAGUUUCUAUUAAUACAUUUAGGGACCAUCCAGGGAUCAGAAGUGGGUGGAGACAUAUAUUUAUCUAACUUAUUUUUUUUAACUCUUGUCUGUCUCAGGAUACCUCUUACUGGUUCCAGAACUUCCACUCCUUUGUCCAUAAAACGGAUAUAAUACAACCUGGUCUUCCUACUUCACAAAGCUUUGAAUCAAAUAAUGAAUGUGAAAAACAUUCUUUCAAUUAGAAAAGUGCCAUAUAAUACAGUGUUAUUAUUAAUUAUAACAAGAAAUAAAUCACACCGGAUUUAAACAUAAAACAGGGCUGUUAGGCUGAGUGUCUACUGAUUUCUGCAUAGCAAAGUCCAUUUUGAUUGUUUUUGACUACUUACAGAGUGGAGAUCUAACUACCCACAUUUCUGGCCCCCUCACUAUUUUCAACGGGAACUUAUUUUGUCAGCAAAAAUUAAUGAAGUUUGACUUUUAUAGGAAGCAUACUGGUGGUUAAGCUCACAACCUUAGAGAGGUAGAAAGUUUAUUUUCUUGUCUGUUUUUAAAGUAAUUGUCUUAUUCAUGUAGAUUUGCAGCAGUCAGCUCAGCAGGCCCUCCUGAAGGUUUCUGAAGUUAUUCUUCCUGACACAGACCACUAAGAAACUAAAUACUAGUUUGGUUCAAAUAUUGAUUGAGCUCUCGCAUUUCCAGCCACUGUUUUAAACUUUGGAGGAACAGCCACCCUUGACCCCAGGAGCUCGCUAUCUAGCCAGGGGAGCAGAAAUGAACAGAGGAUUAGAAAUCAAUAGCCUACAUUGGUAAACGCAAUGGUGGAGGUACAGAACAGAUGCCCAUACUAGAUGCCAGGAGGGCCCUCCCUCCAAUUUGGGGGUGGCAGGGAAACCAUCAGGGUAGUCUUUAAGGAUAAGCAGGAGGAAAAGAGUGAUGUAUGUUCUCCCCCAUUAUGACAAAAAUUAUUUUGGAUGACUACCUAGGAGAUUUUGAGGAAUGGCAAACUCUAUGAAAUAUUUCUCAGAAUCAUUGAGGGUGGGCUGACCCAAAGGACGAAAAUGCUGUUUCUGUGUUGGAAAGAUAAAGCGUAUUCGUUUUCUAAACAGCUCCACUCACACCCUUGAUUAUGGCAGAGACCCACCAGGCACACUCUGCCACUGCACUCACUCCACCUUCUGAACUGCUCAGCUCUGCUACUUGCUCCUUGGGAGACUCACUAAAAGGUUUAUCUGCCAAGAAGGAUGAAAUUACGGGUCAUCGUUAUCCUUGGUACUGUUUAUGGAAUGUACCUCAACUUUGUUGCCCAAUCCCGUGUGACCCUAAGAGGGCAGUGGGACAGCUGGAGAGCCAAUCAGAAGGUGUGGGCUCCAGGCCCCACUGCUUAAACUGGGGUGAAUCACUAAAAUUCUCUUGGACUCCUCUCGUGUUAAGAGCUAAGGAAAUAGAUGGCCUUUACCGUCAGUUUCAAGUCUAAAAGUCUAGGCAUCCGCUCUAACGGGACAUGGUAUUCUUCAGACCUGCCUAAAAAGAGCCCCCAGUGACUUCAAAAGGUAGUUUUUAUGCAGGAAUAUGGACAUUACAGGAGAACAGGACAUUUUAUAAAAAGAAUCCUAACACAGUCUAAGUAAGAGGAAUGCAUAAGGUGUUUCAUUGCUUUGUAGCAUAUAAAAAAGUUAAGUGUGUGAGGGAGAAAAACCACAAAAACCCAUGUCUUUAGAGUUCAGCUUUCUUCUUUACAUGGAUACUUCUACUCUCAGACAUAAUUAUAUUCAAUAAAAGCCUUCCUUCUCCAUCAUAAAAAAACAAAAUGAUGAGCCAGGUUUUCCAGUAGGAAAUCAAAGCCAAAAAUUCGAAGAAACUUGUGAAAGGUUUUGAAAAGAUUUAAUUCGGUCACUAAAUAGAACCACCUAAUUAAUUCAGGGAAUUUGGGGGAUUUCGGUUGCAAACCUGAGCUCCGGGUACAUGUGUACGCAAAGACAGAAAAGUGAUAUGUUUAAAUGUAAAAAAAGAGCUGCAAAAAGAGUUCUCGACCUUCAGGGAGUUUUUCUUUGUCUUUCAAUUCCCACAAUGGAUCAGUUCACCUGACAGAUCCGCCUCAUCACAGCAUUCCUCAAGGGCGAAACUCUCCUUCCCCUACACAGACACUGCACAGAAAAGGCACACAAGCAACUAGUGAUUAGUGAGAUGACCAUGACAUUCCACUACGAAAGUACAUCCUGAUGCAUGAGAUCAUUAUUCACAUUAAGUAGAUAUAUUCUGCUUAUGUCCAACAACUUUAUGAGACCGCUUGGAUUUUCUUUUCCCCUCUGUGACUAUUUUGGGGGGCGGGGAGUGGGAGGAACUCUCCCGGCUUGAGAACUGCCCACAAUUUAUAAGGAUGUGCUGACAGCAAUAUCAAAGAGAUGUACUGUAAAAUGUAAAACCAUCAUAUGGUAUUUUCACAACUUGGAGAAAGAUGUAUUACAGCAAACAAUCUCACUGGUAUUAAAGUGCUAAAAACUUGAACUCUUCCAGUUGUGAGGUAAUAAAAUAUAGCUAAGCUUUCCUAGCAAAGAGGGGGGAAAAACUGAAAACCAGCUAUUCAAGAUUGCAUAUGGAGCGAUGCUAAGGAGAGACAGAAUUUCAUCCAGAGCUGCUGAAAUCCAGGCGUGUGUUACACCACCAUCUCCCCUCCAGCCUGCAAUCCAUCAACCAUCUCCACCUUACUCUUCACACUUAGGAUUAUGAUCAAGUCUAUGUACUAAAGGGGGAAAGACCAAACAAACAUUACACUGAAAGUGUCCCUGCUUUGAACCAGCAGGAGAUUCCAGUUACUUCACUGGAACUGGUUAAGCGGCUGAAAUGAAAUGGGUGCUAGGAGAGAUCACCACGUCAGGACAGAGACUUGAUUUUCAGGGUUGGAGGAGAUCAGACGAAGACGAAUGAGAUUCUGAGUCUUAGUACAAGGUCAAGGCCCCCGGAAUUACAAAAAGCUGGUGGGUCAGUGAGGGGGCCUGUGGGUUGGGAAGCGGCAAAAACUAGCGCCAAAAAAGAAAACCCUGAACUAAUUUGUUAGUAGGUAAAUGCACUCAGAGCGGUGACGAGCAGCCCCAACGCUCGCUGAGAUCCUCAGAGUUUUACAAACCGACCCU